rnacentral:lncRNA from 1 species
UGAUUUUAUGUGUUUACAAAUAUUUUAUACUAAUUUGGAAGAAACUUGGAUUUAUUAAUGAAAUUUUCAGUUCUUCUUGUCCAAAUGGAGCCCAAUUUCAAACCCACCACCAAAGGCCCAAGUUCAAGACCCUUCUUCUUCAUAACCUACACAAGACAAACCCUAGAGGACAACUUUAGGACCCAUGGCUACCUUAUUCAACCCUUGAGCACACUACAAGGACCCCUGAACCCUAGACACAAGCAGCCGCAUCUCCACCCACCUUCACUGAACUAGUAGCUCGCCGAAAACUACCGCCAACCACUCCUUCAUCUUCUUCUUCAUCUCCAAGCCACAUCAACGCCAGCGACUCUCAAUCAGUCGACCAGCCAGCUGCCCACCAACCUAACGCUAUCAACGACCACCCAAGCUUCUUCUUCAACAUGAAAAGAAUCAAAAGCAGCUGAACAAAAAGCCAUCAGAGACCAAAAUCUAAAAAAAAUCAUCUGUCUUCAUCUUCAACCUUGGAUAGCCAUUUUCUUUGGUCACAUAUGUAAGAUUAGUGAACAAAAAAAGAUAAACUUAUUGUAAUAUUACAUCACUGUAGCAUAUCCUGAAGAAAAUAGAAGCGUUGGAUGCGUCAGUUAACUAGUCGUUAUUUUAGUUCUGUCCUAAGUCCGAUUUCGAAUUUUAGCUUCUUCGUCUGAUUUCUAAUCUUGAAACCAUGGAAUCUGACUGAAUUUGAUGGAAGUCGUUUUGGUUUCGAGCUUCCGGCACCGAUUCGAGUUUACGACUACGGUUCUGGCAUUUUUGUUGUGAAGUUGCCAUACAAUGAAACUUCAGGUUCAUUGAGGUCUAUUUCUCAUUUCCCUUCUACUCCUUGUUUUCUUAACAUCAUGCUCUUAUUAUUUGGUUAAUCUAUUAUUAUUCUGUCUUUGAACGUCAUUUUGUUGUUAUUGCUGUUUAGUUUAAUAUGUUUGGAUGAAUUUUGAUUGUUAGAGUGAGUUUUGAUUCCAUAUUUAAUUGUUACAGUUACUAUUCAGAUGACAAAAGGAUUAAUUAUACAUAUAUAAGUAGAUUGAUUGGAGUUCUGUAUUGAAUAUGGGGUUUUGGACAUAUAGAAUGGGAAAUUAAAUUCAUCACAUUAAUAGUUUUAUUUUAUUUGCUUGAAAUCGCUAGCAGCAUGCUUAGGCCAACCACACUAGGGUAGGCAAGCCUUAGGAUUUUGUUAGUUUCGAGGCGAGGGGUCGUUCCCUUAGUUAAAUUUAUCUGGGGAAUGCCCCGAGGGAUUUGUAUAUAUUUUUUUGCAGGGGCAUGCCCCGAAGUGAAUGUAAUUGGAAGUCGUGGCAAACAUCGCAGAAGAAAUAGCGUAGGAUAAUUUAGAACUUUAAUUUUUCUUCUUUUAAUUUUCUUUUAUUUAGGUGGGGACGACUUCGAGCCUCUUUUGAUUGUUUAUUUUCUUUUUGUGUGUUAUUACCUCAAUUUGAAUGUUUCAAAAGCCAACUUGAUCGAGUAUGCAACCGUACUAGUUACGGGACUUGGGGAGUGCUUAACACCUUCUCCCCGAGUCAAAUGAAUCCCCUUACCCGAAUCUCUGGUGCAGAUUUAGUUAUGGAGUUUCAAGUGUUUUGAAAGGAAAAAAAUCAUUUUUAGAAAAAUGAUGACCUGACAUACCGAAAUCAAUGUCAGGUGGCGACUCUGAGUUAAUCCUUUUGAACAUAAAUUUUUGUCACUUUUUAUUUAAAAAAUCCUUUUGAGCUUUACGAAUCCUUUUAUUAUUUAUAAGAGGGUUAGUGAAGUUGGUGAAAAAAGGUGUGACAACGUUCUUGAAUUCUUUUCGUGUGAAUCUGUUGAUUUUGGUAACUAAACUUCUGUUAUUCUAUUCUCUCACAAAGGGUGAGGACAUGUACUACUGGGCAGGACGGAGAGCCACCAAUACCACCAGCUAGGGCCGCGAGAGG